rnacentral:snRNA from 1 species
UUGCUGUGGCAGCACAUACGCUAAAAUCUGAACACUACAGAGAAGAUUAGCAUGGCCCCUGCACAAGGAUGACGCGCAAAUUCGUGAAACAUUCCCUAUUUUU